rnacentral:rRNA from 1 species
AGAGUUUGAUCCUGGCUCAGAACGAACGCUGGCGGCGUGGCUAAAGCAUGCAAGUCGAACGAGGUGUGUGGAAGGUAACGGAAGCACACUUAGUGGCGAACGGGUGAGGAAUAGAUAGGUAACGUACCCUGGACACAGGAAUAGCGGCGUCCCGACUUGUCGGGACUUUGCGAAAGUGCCGGUAAUACCUGAUGACACCCCCGAUACUCAUGUAUUGGGGGUCAAAGGUCCGCCGGUCCGGGAGCGGCCUAUCUCCUAUCAGCUUGUUGGUGGGGUAAUGGCCUACCAAGGCAUCGACAGGUACCAGGCGUGAGAGCGUGACCUGGCACAUCGGGACUGAGACACUGCCCGGACAUCUACGGAUGGCUGCAGCAACGAAUAUUCCGCAAUGGGCGCAAGCCUGACGGAGCGACGCCGCGUGUAGGAUGAAGCACCUCGGUGUGUAAACUACUGUCAGGGGUUAGGAAGAAAGUGACCAACCCCACAGGAAGCCUCGGCUAACUCCGUGCCAGCAGCCGCGGUAAUACGGAGGAGGCAAGCGUUGUUCGGAAUCACUGGGCUUAAAGAGUGCGUAGGCGGGAAAGCAGGUGUCGGGUGAAAGCCCUCGGCUCAACCGAGGAACUGCUCGGCAAACCGCUUUUCUUGAGGCUAGCAGAGGAACCCGGAACCUUGGGUGGAGCGGUGAAAUGCGUAGAUAUCCAAGGGAACGCCAGUGGCGAAAGCGGGGUUCUGGGCUGGUUCUGACGCUGAGGCACGAAAGCGUGGGUAGCAAACAGGAUUAGAUACCCUGGUAGUCCACGCCGUAAACGAUGCGCACUAGGUAUCAGCGCCUCUGACGGGGUUGGUGCCG